rnacentral:rRNA from 1 species
UACGUAGGGUGCAAGCGUUGUCCGGAAUUAUUGGGCGUAAAGAGCUCGUAGGCGGUCUGUCGCGUCGGCUGUGAAAUCCCCGAGGCUCAACCUCGGGUCUGCAGUCGAUACGGGCAAACUAGAGUAUUGCAGGGGAGACUGGAAUUCCUGGUGUAGCGGUGAAAUGCGCAGAUAUCAGGAGGAACACCGGUGGCGAAGGCGGGUCUCUGGGCAAUAACUGACGCUGAGGAGCGAAAAGCGUGGGGGAGCAAACGGGG